ensembl:lncRNA
AUGGCAUGGCUCUUGCAACGUAUGUACCUGCCUGCUGUUCUCAAGCACACCUGUUUUUCCUCUGAACUUUCCAGGUGGUGCGGGCAUAGAAGGAAGGCCAUGAAGGACAAUUUUGGUCUUGGGAGAUCCCUGGAAUUGAUAGGGAGCCCCUUGAUAUGUGUGGCAUGGGCUCCUUCAGGUGCUAGCGGAUUCCUUAGGAUGGUAGCACUGGCAUGGAAGGCAGGCCCGUGUUGGCGAGGGACAAUUGUUAUCUCAUGUGAGCCGCGGAGAUACCAGGAAGCCCCUGGACACAAUGGCAAAGACUCCCUCGGAAGUUGUUGGAUCCCUUCUGAAUGUGGCGUUGGCAUAAAAGGCGAGCUUGUAUCAUGA